UGCGGCGACGGCUCAAGACGUC
rnacentral:miRNA from 1 species